rnacentral:rRNA from 1 species
GACAGAGGCCUCAAGCGUUAGGCGGAAUCACUGGGCUUAAAGCGUGUGUAGGCGGGUCGUUAAGUACCUUGUCGAAAUCCCACGGCUCACCCGUGGAACUGCUGGGUAUACUGGCGAUCGUUGGGCCAACUAGGGGCAACUGGAACAAGCGGUGGAGCGGUGAAAUGCGUAGAUAUCGCUUGGAACGCCAAAGGUGGAAAACAGGUUGCUGGGGUUGUGCCGAC